GGCAAAAGUCAAAAAAAUAAGAAGUUAAUUCAAUUUGAGGAAGGCAAUCAGAAAAUCGUUGAUAGGGGACAUCCAUAGAAGAUUAGAAGAAGCUUCUCUCCAAGAGGAGAGAGGUCCACAUAAGACAAAAGAAUAUUGUGAUCCUAAUUUGGAUUCAUUCAGUCCCAAUGGAGUGGUGGUCGCAAAAGAUGAAGUAUCCGGUGCGAAAAUUUUGUAGCCGGGUCACUACCCGCCUCGGCAAUCGAAAAUCAGGGCUACCUAGGCUACAACAUGAUAUAAGGAGUUGUGAGUACGAUGACGUGCAUGUGAUGUGGAGGAUGCUCAACCCAAAUGAGAAGAAGACGGAGACGAUUCAAUUGGGAGGAAGCUCCAAGAAGAAACGUUUCUCGAAUUUAUCAAAUUGGUUUAAACGAACGCCUUUUGUUUGCCGUGCCUUUUGAAUUUUGAACACCAUGUCGUAAACAUAUAAAUAUAAAUCAAUAUGCCCAUCAUAAUUUUGUGUUUAGAAAUUAAGGUGGAACAUAUAAUUUGGUUUAUUUAAAGAAAAAAGAAAAGAAAAGAAUUGUGGGAUCCAAAUAUUAGGUGGUGUCUCUGUUAUUCUCCAAUCGUCUCGGCGGUCAGCCGUCCGUAUGUAGAUAUCAACGGUUUAUGUCUUCUUCUAUUAUUAAAUAAACUUUAUUUUAUGUGUGCA